GAUGAAGAACGUAGUGAAAUGCGAUAAGUAAUGUGAAUUGCAGAAUUCAGUGAAUCAUCGAAUCUUUGAACGCACAUUGCGCCCCUUGGUAUUCCGAGGGGCAUGCCUGUUCGAGCGUCAUUAUAACCCCUCAAGCUCAGCUUGGUGUUGGGGCCUGCUGCACUGGCAGCCCUUAAAAUCAGUGGCGGCGCCAUCUGGCUCUAAGCGUAGUAAUUCUUCUCGCUAUGGAGUCCUGGUGGAUGCUUGCCAUCAACCACCAAUUUUUCUAUGGUUGACCUCGGAUCAGGUAGGGAUACCCGCUGAACUUAAGCAUAUCAAUAAGCGGAGGA
rnacentral:misc_RNA from 1 species